CCUUCUGGGGAAAGGGGGCCUGCGGAAGGAUCAUUAAAGAUUAUGAAUGAAUAGAUUACUGGGGGAAUCGUCUGAACAAGGCCUGCGCUUAAUUGCGCGGCCAGUUCUUGAUUCUCUGCUAUCAGUUUUCUAUUUCUCAUCCUAAACACAAUGGAGUUUUUUCUCUAUGAACUACUUCCCUGGAGAGCUCGUCUCUCCAGUGGACAUAAACACAAACAAUAUUUUGUAUUAUGAAAAACUAUUAUACUAUAAAAUUUAAUAUUCAAAACUUUCAACAACGGAUCUCUUGGUUCUCGCAUCGAUGAAGAACGCAGCGAAUUGCGAUAUGUAUUGUGAAUUGCAGAUUUUCGUGAAUCAUCAAAUCUUUGAACGCACAUUGCGCCCUCUGGUAUUCCAGGGGGCAUGCCUGUUUGAGCGUCAUUUCUCUCUCAAACCUUUGGGUUUGGUAGUGAGUGAUACUCGUCUCGGGUUAACUUGAAAGUGGCUAGCCGUUGCCAUCUGCGUGAGCAGGGCUGCGUGUCAAGUCUAUGGACUCGACUCUUGCACAUCUACGUCUUAGGUUUGCGCCAAUUCGUGGUAAGCUUGGGUCAUAGAGACUCAUAGGUGUUAUAAAGACUCGCUGGUGUUUGUCUCCUUGAGGCAUACGGCUUUAACCAAAACUCUCAAAGUUUGACCUCAAAUCAGGUAGGAGUACCCGCUGAACUUAAGCAUAUCA
rnacentral:rRNA from 1 species